UUCCAUACACCCAACAUGAAGAUCAUUCUUUUCGUUUGCGUUCUCUUGGCUUCCAUUCUCUUCUCGCCCUCUUCAAUUCUCGCUCGAGAAUUGGCUCAAAGUGAUGCAGGUGGUUCUACAAGCGGAACUGAGAAUUACAUUCCAGAGUGUGGUGCUCCAGAUGGCACCCCAGCCUACAAUGAAUGCGUAAAGAAACAGAAGUGUGUUCCCUCUGCAUACAACCGUUGCGGCCCACGGAAAGACCCAUGAAUAAGUCAUAAUGUUGUGUAAUGAAAGUAUGAUGAUCAAUUAAACAGUAUGUAUGCUACAUAUAUAUAUAUAUAAUUUUAUAAGUUGUGUACGUGUGAAUAAAAAGAGCUUACUACUCUUU